rnacentral:rRNA from 1 species
GAUGAACGCUAGCUACAGGCCUAACACAUGCAAGUCGUGGGGCAGCGGAUGCUUAGCUUGCUAAGUAUGCCGGCGACCGGCGCACGGGUGAGUAACGCGUACCGAACCUGCCCAUCACACAGGGACAGGCUUGCGAAAGCAAGAUUAAUACUGAUGGUCUCAGUUGUAUGCAUGUAUAAUUGAGUAAAGCCUUCGGGCGGUGAUGGAGGCGGUGCGUCCCAUUAGGAAGUUGGCGGGGUAACGGCCCACCAAUCCUUCGAUGGGUAGGGGUUCUGAGAGGAAGGUCCCCCACAUUGGAACUGAGAUACGGUCCAAACUCCUACGGGAGGCAGCAGUGAGGAAUAUUGGUCAAUGGGCGAGAGCCUGAACCAGCCAAGUAGCGUGCGGGAUGAAGGCCCUUGUGGUCGUAAACCGCUUUUAUCAGUGAAUAAAGUGCACCACGUGUGGUGUCAUUGCAGGUAGCUGAAGAAAAAGGACCGGCUAAUUCCGUGCCAGCAGCCGCGGUAAUACGGAAGGUCCGGGCGUUAUCCGGAAUUAUUGGGUUUAAAGGGAGCGCAGGCGGGAGUAUAAGUCAGCUGUUAAAUAUCAGGGCCCAACUCUGUUACGCAGUUGAAACUAUAUUUCUUGAGUACGCACAGGGAUGGCGGAAUUCAGGGUGUAGCGGUGAAAUGCUUAGAUAUCCUGAAGAACUCCGAUCGCGAAGGCAGCCAUCCGGAGCGUAACUGACGCUGAGGCUCGAAGGUGCGGGUAUCGAACAGG